UUUCUAUACAAAAAUCAUUAUACAGAAAUCAACAAAUCCCUAUUUUCGUUUUACCAUAACAUUACAAAAGCGAAUUAAAAAAAAGUCUCUUAAAAUAUUUUAAAUUCUUUAAUUUUUGAUCUCGUACAAUUUUAUCAGAAACAUCUUGAAGUAUCUCGCACGUGUUGUACGAGCGUUCAUAAAAAAAAAUUGAGAACAGAAAAAAAUGUGUUGGAUGUCGAACGAACGAUGUAGGGAGAGGAAAUUAAAAGAGAAAACAGCGGAACGAGAAUACAUCUGACACUCUAAUCCGGGAGUGAAUGCGGUGGGACAGCUGUAUUCCCAGGAGAGUCAACACUGAUAGCAACGGCCAUGCAAUUACCGGCUUCAGCCCGAGCCAUGGAAAAGCCGUCAUCCGAGAAAUAAGAUUCCAGCCAUCGCGACCGAAUAACUCCAAACGCUAUACACAAUACCACGAAACGAAAGCAUUAAUUAAACGCAAUCUACGCAUCCUGGCGUUGAAAUCAUUUGCAAGAAAUAUAGUGUUUCUGUAGGAAGAAUGAAGGUGAUGUUCGCGAUAUUAUGCACCGAAGGAGCAUGGGAACAUCCGUGGGGGAGCGUCACCGGCGUGGAAACGUCCCUGAGUCUCGUCGGGAUGCCAUUUUGACUUUUAAACAGGCUCGUGUGUAAAUAGACCAUGCAUUCAUGUAUUAGGUUGUUUAGAACGUUUACAGACUAAAUUUUAACAAAAUUUUACACCGAUUUUCAUAAAACCAACUUAAUUCAAUACAGAAAUUUAAUCACAAUUUUAUCAAACAGCAUAUAAAUAUAAUCUAAAACUCAGCAAUAAUUACUAUAAAUAAAUUGUUUGCGAUACCAGUACUAUA
rnacentral:misc_RNA from 1 species